CUCUAUCUCUCUCUCUCUCACCCAAGCUCCGAGUCAUAUCUGCCAUUCUGCUAUCUCGACUACCGCUGAUGUCAACAGAGACCCAGAUAUAGCCAAGCACGCCCAGAAGGGUCAAAUUGUCGCAACCGGAGUUCUCUCGGAGCUUCAAAUCGUUGCCGGUUGCUUCUACAGAUUUACGAGGAUGAUAUUUGCCUCUGUAUAUUGGAUACACAUCCGCUGAGUCGUGGACACAGGGUCACAAGAUUCAGCGUCUAACAGUUCUACUGCUGUGGGUUUUGAUGAGAGAAUGUUGCUACAUUCAGAG